rnacentral:rRNA from 1 species
GAUGAACGCUGGCGGCGUGCCUAAUACAUGCAAGUCGAGCGAACAGACGAGGAGCUUGCUCCUCUGACGUUAGCGGCGGACGGGUGAGUAACACGUGGAUAACCUACCUAUAAGACUGGGAUAACUUCGGGAAACCGGAGCUAAUACCGGAUAAUAUAUUGAACCGCAUGGUUCAAUAGUGAAAGACGGUUUUGCUGUCACUUAUAGAUGGAUCCGCGCCGCAUUAGCUAGUUGGUAAGGUAACGGCUUACCAAGGCAACGAUGCGUAGCCGACCUGAGAGGGUGAUCGGCCACACUGGAACUGAGACACGGUCCAGACGCCUACGAGAGGCAGCAGUAGGGAAUCUUCCGCAAUGGGCGAAAGCCUGACGGAGCAACGCCGCGUGAGUGAUGAAGGUCUUCGGAUCGUAAAACUCUGUUAUUAGGGAAGAACAAAUGUGUAAGUAACGAUGCACGUCUUGACGGUACCUAAUCAGAAAGCCACGGCUAACUACGUG